rnacentral:lncRNA from 1 species
UUGUGCAUCGCUAUCGUUCAAUGGCUUCUUGAUAUAGUUCCCUGAAUGUCCGACAUUUUGUUUGUGUUGCCGUAUUUUUUAAUAUGUAUGCCUUGUUGUUAUUUUUGUCUGAAUGUUUCACCACAGAAACAAUCAGCACGUUUCCAUCUUUGCAACUUUUUUGAUCAGAAUCAAAAAAUAUGCUUGACAAAUGACAAACACUGCAUAUUUUCAAACGCUUAAUUGAUAAAGAUUUUUUUUUUAAUACCGGAAUCGAGUUCGUCGAAAAUGCGGAUUUAUUUUCGACGUGCGGGAAUUUUAUUUUUAUUUU